ACCUGAGAAAUAAUAUGCAUGCAGAGAUUAGCUUUUUUUCCUUUUUUCUUUUUUUUUCAAUUCUUUUUUUUUAUUGCUUAUUUUUUUUUGAAAAUAAACAUGCUAUGAUGCAAAUGAUGCAGACAAGACUGACAGGCUGUGCAUCUCAGAACACAGGAUCAAAGCUUCGGCUUGAACUCGGAACCACAAUUCAUCUGAAACCCAAAGUCAUCUGAUAAACUGUCAUCUGAACCCAAUCUGAG
rnacentral:lncRNA from 1 species